GGGACACGUGGUAUCCUGUCUGAAUAUGGGGGGACCAUCCUCCAAGGCUAAAUACUCCUGACUGACCGAUAGUGAACCAGUACCGUGAGGGAAAGGCGAAAAGAACCCCGGCGAGGGGAGUGAAAAAGAACCUGAAACCGUGUACGUACAAGCAGUGGGAGCACGCUUAGGCGUGUGACUGCGUACCUUUUGUAUAAUGGGUCAGCGACUUAUAUUCUGUAGCAAGGUUAACCGAAUAGGGGAGCCGAAGGGAAACCGAGUCUUAACUGGGCGUUAAGUUGCAGGGUAUAGACCCGAAACCCGGUGAUCUAGCCAUGGGCAGGUUGAAGGUUGGGUAACACUAACUGGAGGACCGAACCGACUAAUGUUGAAAAAUUAGCGGAUGACUUGUGGCUGGGGGUGAAAGGCCAAUCAAACCGGGAGAUAGCUGGUUCUCCCCGAAAGCUAUUUAGGUAGCGCCUCGUGAAUUCAUCUCCGGGGGUAGAGCACUGUUUCGGCAAGGGGGUCAUCCCGACUUACCAACCCGAUGCAAACUGCGAAUACCGGAGAAUGUUAUCACGGGAGACACACGGCGGGUGCUAACGUCCGUCGUGAAGAGGGAAACAACCCAGACCGCCAGCUAAGGUCCCAAAGUCAUGGUUAAGUGGGAAACGAUGUGGGAAGGCCCAGACAGCCAGGAUGUUGGCUUAGAAGCAGCCAUCAUUUAAAGAAAGCGUAAUAGCUCACUGGUCGAGUCGGCCUGCGCGGAAGAUGUAACGGGGCUAAACCAUGCACCGAAGCUGCGGCAGCGACGCUUAUGCGUUGUUGGGUAGGGGAGCGUUCUGUAAGCCUGCGAAGGUGUGCUGUGAGGCAUGCUGGAGGUAUCAGAAGUGCGAA
rnacentral:rRNA from 1 species